rnacentral:rRNA from 1 species
GGUGAAGCUAGUAAGAGCAUAUGGUGGAUGCCUUGGCACUAAGAGGCGAUGAAGGACGUGGUAAGCUGCGAAAAGCUUUGGGGAGCCGCAAGCAGGCAUUGAUCCAGAGAUAUCCGAAUGGGGAAACCCUAUAUGAGUAAUAUCAUAUAACCCUAUGGUGAAUCAAAUAGCCAUAGAGGAGCGAACCCGGAGAACUGAAACAUCUAAGUAUCCGGAGGAGGAGAAAGAAAACUCGAUUUCCUAAGUAGCGGCGAGCGAAAUGGAAAUAGCCCAAACCAGAAGAGAUUCUGGGGUUGUAGGACUGCAAUAUGGGAUUGAAUUAGGUUAGUCGAACAGAUUGGGAAAUCUGGCCAAAGAGAGUGAGAGCCUCGUAGACGAAAGCCGAAGGCACCUUAGCAGUAUCCUGAGUACCACUGAACACGUGAAACUCGGUGGGAACCCGGGGGGACCACCCCCCAAGGCUAAAUACUCCUUAGUGACCGAUAGUGAACCAGUACCGUGAGGGAAAGGUGAAAAGGACCCCGGGAGGGGAGUGAAAUAGAACCUGAAACCAUGUGCUUACAAACAGUUGGAGCGAAAGUGACAGCGUACUUUUUGUGUAACGGACCGGCGAGUUGUGGUAUCAAGCGAGGUUAAGUGCUUCAGGCACGGAGCCGAAGGGAAACCAAGUCUGAAUAGGGCGAAAGUUUGGUGCUGCAGACCCGAAACCGAGUGAUCUAUCCAUGGGCAGAGUGAAGCGGAAGUAAAAUUUCGUGGAGGCUCGAACCGACUUACGUUGAAAAGUGAGCGGAUGACCUGUGGAUAGGGGUGAAAUUCCAAUCGAACUCGGAGAUAGCUGGUUCUCCCCGAAAUAGCUUUAGGGCUAGCCUCGGCGUUGAGAUUUAUGGAGGUAGAGCACUGAAUAGACUAGGGGCCCUAAAGGGUUACCGAAUCUUAUCAAACUCCGAAUGCCAUAAAUUAUAGCCGGGAGUCAGACUGCGGGUGACAAGGUUCGUAGUCGAGAGGGAAACAGCCCAGACCAACAGUUAAGGUCCCCAAGUAUAGACUAAGUGGAAAAGGAUGUAGGGACGCCCAGACAACCAGGAUGUUGGCUUAGAAGCAGCCAUCAUUUAAAGAGUGCGUAAUAGCUCACUGGUCGAGUGGCCCUGCGCCGAAAAUGUAACGGGGCUCAAGUCUAACACCGAAACUUUGGCAUUAAUUUAUUAAUGGGUAGGGGAGCGUUCUGUGUGCGGAGAAGGGAAGCUGUAAGGCGACUUGGAGAGCACAGAAGUGAGAAUGCCGGUAUAAGUAUGCGAUAAGGGGAGUGAGAAUCUCCCCCGCCAAAAACCUAAGGUUUCCUGGGGAAGGCUCGUCCGCCCAGGGUAAGCCGGGACCUAAGCUGAGGCCGAAAGGCGUAGGCGAUGGACAAUUGAUUGAUAUUUCAAUGCUACCUGUACGCCAUUUGAGGAUGGAGUGACGCAGGAGGGUAGGCAUGGCGCACUGAUGGAUAUGUGCGUGCAAGCAAGUAGGGUGUGAUGUAGGAAAAUCCGCAUCACAUAAACCUGAGAUGUUACGCCGAGCGAAAUUAAGUAGCGAAGCAGCUGACCCCACACUGACAAGAAAAGCUUCUAACGAGGAGUACAGGUACCCGUACCGUAAACCGACACAGGUAGGAAGGGUGAGAAUCCUAAGGCGCGCGAGAGAACCUUCGUUAAGGAACUCGGCAAAAUGACCCCGUAACUUCGGGAGAAGGGGUGCCCCCCGGUGUAAAGAGCGCACGCUCUGAGCAUUGAGGGGCCGCAGAGAAUUGGCCCAGGCGACUGUUUACCAAAAACACAGGUGCCUGCUAAAUCGAUGAGAUGAUGUAUAGGUGCUGACGCCUGCCCGGUGCUGGAAGGUUAAGGGAAAAUGUUAUCCUUCGGGAGAAGCAUAGAACUGAAGCCCCAGUAAACGGCGGCCGUAACUAUAACGGUCCUAAGGUAGCGAAAUUCCUUGUCGGGUAAGUUCCGACCCGCACGAAAGGCGUAACGAUCUGGGCACUGUCUCAACGAAGGACUCGGCGAAAUUGUAGUACCAGUGAAGAUGCUGGUUACCUGCGGCAGGACAGAAAGACCCCGUGGAGCUUUACUGUAGCCUGACAUUGAAUUUCGAUACACUAUGUACAGCAUAGGUGGGAGACUUGGAAGCAUGUACGCUAGUAUGUGUGGAGUCACCGGUGGGAUACCACUCUUAGUGUAUUGGACUUCUAACCAGUGGCCGUGAUCCGGUCAUGGGACAGUGUCAGGUGGGCAGUUUGACUGGGGCGGUCGCCUCCCAAAGAGUAACGGAGGCGCCCAAAGGCUGGUUCAGGAUGGUUGGAAAUCAUCCGCAGAGUGUAAAGGCAUAAACCAGCUUGACUGCGAGACUGACGGGUCGAGCAGGGAUGAAAGUCGGGCUUAGUGAUCCGGUGGUUCCGAGUGGAAGGGCCAUCGCUCAACGGAUAAAAGCUACCCCGGGGAUAACAGGCUUAUCUCCCCCAAGAGUUCACAUCGACGGGGAGGUUUGGCACCUCGAUGUCGGCUCAUCGCAUCCUGGGGCUGUAGUAGGUCCCAAGGGUUGGGCUGUUCGCCCAUUAAAGCGGUACGCGAGCUGGGUUCAGAACGUCGUGAGACAGUUCGGUCCCUAUCCGCCGCAGGCGUAGGAAACUUGAGGAGAGCUGCUCCUAGUACGAGAGGACCGGAGUGGACGAACCGCUGGUGUACCAGUUGUCCUGCCAAGGGCAUAGCUGGGUAGCUACGUUCGGAAAGGAUAAGCGCUGAAAGCAUCUAAGCGCGAAGCCUACUUCAAGACAAGGUUUCCCAUGGAGUUAAUCCAGUAAGACCCCAGAGAGAAGAUCUGGUUGAUAGGUUGGGAGUGGAAGUGCAGUAAUGCAUGCAGCUGACCAAUACUAAUCGGUCGAGGGCUUCACCAG